rnacentral:rRNA from 1 species
GAUGAACGCUGGCGGCGUGCCUAAUACAUGCAAGUCGAGCGAACGGACGAGAAGCUUGCUUCUCUGAUGUUAACGGCGGACGGGUGAGUAACACGUGGAUAACCUACCUAUAAGACUGGGAUAACUUCGGGAAACCGGAGCUAAUACCGGAUAAUAUUUUGAACCGCAUGGUUCAAAAGUGAAAGACGGUCUUGCUGUCACUUAUAGAUGGAUCCGCGCUGCAUUAGCUAGUUGGUAAGGUAACGGCUUACCAAGGCAACGAUGCAUAGCCGACCUGAGAGGGUGAUCGGCCACACUGGAACUGAGACACGGUCCAGACUCCUACGGGAGGCAGCAGUAGGGAAUCUUCCGCAAUGGGCGAAAGCCUGACGGAGCAACGCCGCGUGAGUGAUGAAGGUCUUCGGAUCGUAAAACUCUGUUAUUAGGGAAGAACAUAUGUGUAAGUAACUGUGCACAACUUGACGGUACCUAAUCAGAAAGCCACGGCUAACUACGUG